AUCUGACCACGAAUCUGACCACGAAUCAGACUACGAAUCUGACCACGACUCUGAUCACGACUCUGAUCACGACUCUGAUCAUGACUCUGAUCAUGACUCUGAUGAAACCGAUGAACAUAACAAAACGGGUGGUAACAAAAAAAAAGCAAAGAAAAACAAUACUCAAUUGAUAGAAAAUAAAAAUGUUUCAGUAAAAGAAAAAAUGAAAGAAGAUCCUUGUUUUGUUCCUAAAGAAUCAAGAUAUUUUUUACAUGAUAAUAGAUUUGAUGUUAAUGAUAAAAAAAAAAAAUUAUAUAAUUAUUAUACAAAAAAAAGAAGUAUUUUUAAUAAUAAAACAAAUUAUUUAAAUGAAAAAAAAUGGAAACACGAUUUAUUUUAUAGUUAUAAAUAUGACGACUAUUAUCCACGAGAAGAAAGAAACAAUUAUAAUAAAAAAAAAAAUUAUACAUACAAUAAUAGAUUAUAUUUAAAUGGCUAUAAUAAAUAUAAUAAUGUCAAAGUCAAUACCAAUGUUAAUAACACAAAUCAAUAUGUGUCAUCAUAUAAAUAUAAUAUUAAAGGUAAUUAUUACUAUGAUGAUAAUCGAACCGGGUAUAACAAUAGUAGACACCUAAGUUAUUAUAACAAAUAUUACAAUGAAACUAAUAACAAAAUGAAAACGGAUUGUUCUUAUAUUAAUAAUAACAAAGUUAAUAAUAAAUCAAAUUAUUCCACUGCAUAUAAAAAAAAAACAUAUAUAUUUAGUAAUAAAGACAAAGUAAAAAAAUUUAAUGAUGAACAAUAUUUAAAUGGUAACACCAAAAACGAUAACAAACACGAUGACACCCAAAAUGACAGCAAAGCGAACCACGAUGGAACAUAUAAAAACAGAAAAGUAUUAUCAAAAGAACCUGACAAUAAAAUUAAGAAUUUAUUUUUUUCCAAAAAUAGAAGUCGAGAAAGUUAUAAGGAUAAAGGUAGUAAAAAAUGUGCUUAUGAAAAUAAUAAAGGAAUGAAAACAGAAAAUAAAAAUGUUUCAAAUCAAGAAAUGUCAAAAACUGCAGUAAAAGACAUAGUAAACAAUACAAUAAAUAAUGCAGUAGAAAAUGGAAAUGAAACAGGGUUAAAGAGUGAUAGUAAUAAUGGUAAAAACGAAAGUUUUAAAUUAGAAGAAUCAAGUAUAAAUAAACGAAUAAACAAAAAAGAAAACGAAACAACUAAAAAAAAACAAAACAUUCAAAAAGAUAAUAGCUAUAAUGGUGAUGAUAUUAAUAGUGGUAGCAAGCAUAGUGGUAGUAAUAAUGAUAACUCCAAAAAAAAUGAUCUGUCAAGCUAUAAAAAUAACAAAAACAACAUCAACCAUACUAGUUUAACAAAUGAAAAUAAUAUAAUCCAAGAAACAAGUGCUACUAAUUUAAGAGGAGAUAAUAAUAAAAAGGCUAUAGUGACAAACACAAACGCAAAAUAUAAUCAUAAAAAUUAUUUUAAUUAUCAGAGUAAUUAUACUAACCGAUAUGUACGAGCUGAUGCAAAUUAUGCAAAAAUGGAGUAUUCUUCAAAAAAAAAUUAUUACUCAUCUAAACAAAACAAUACAAACCAUAAAACAUAUAAUAAUAACAAUGGCACUAAUAAUAGUAGUAAUAAUAAUGGUAAAAGGUAUGAUACUUAUUAUGACAAAAAGUACGAUGGUAAUUAUGAUAAAAGAUAUGACAGUUAUGGUGGUACUUAUGAUGAUUAUUACGACAAAUACAAUGGAUAUUAUGAUAAAAGUUACAAAAAAUGUUACGAAAAAGAGAGGGAAAUUAAUUAUAAUCGUGAUAAUUAUUAUGAUCCAUAUAAAAAUGUGGACUACAAAAAUUUUAAAUAUGGCACAAGAAACAGUUAUAAUAAAAAUAAACAAACUAUAAGAAAACAUGAACAUAAUGAACAUCAUUAUAAAUCAGAAAAUAUAAAUACUGACAAUGUUAAAAUAACAGAUUUACAAAUGAAAAAGGAUGAAAAUACAACCAGUACAGAUAAUGAAAAAAAAAAAAAAAAAAAAAAACAAGUACAUGACCCUGACCCAGACCCUGAAAACAUAACAAAAGAAAAGGGUAUACUAACUGAUACAUCAGGGAAAAAAGAAUAUUAUGAUAACAGAAGUAGAAACAAUGACAAAAUUAGUAGCAAUGACAAAAUUAGUAGCAAUGACAAAAUUAGUAAUGACAAAAUUAGUAAUGACAAAAUUAGUAACAAUGACAAAAUUAGUAAUGACAAAAUUAGCAAUGACAAAAUUAGUAACAAUAAAAACGGUAGCAACGUAAGCAACAACAAUGAUAACCGUUCUAAUAACAAGAGCGAUGAAAAGUUAAAGCACAAUUAUUUUUUAAAAAAAAUAAAAAAAAAAUCAAAUACGAGGUCUAAAGAACAAUUUGAUCAUAUUAUAAAUAACAACAGUAAAAAACUUGAAAAUGAAGUUAAUAAAAAAACAAAUGAUAAAGAUAAAGAUUGUAGAAAAUAUAAUGAUGAUAGUAAGUAUAAUAAAAGUUCAAAAAAAAUAAAAAAUAAAAAUAUAACUGUUACUGACACAAAAGAAAUAGAUAGUAGUAGUAAGGACAUGAUAAAAAAAAAAAGUACAAAGCGCACUGGUGGUAUUAGUAAUAGUACUCGUGUAGGUGAAAAUUAUGUUGAUGAAAAGUGUAAUGACAAAAUUGAAGAUAAUGGAGUAGCAUAUAACACAGUCGAAUAUAAUGGUGUUGUUGUAUAUAAUGAUGCCACAUAUAAUGUUAGUAGUAAAUACGCUGAUAAUAAACAAAAGGAAAAUGGAAACUUAUUUAAGAAUACUAGUAGAAAGCAUAGUGGAAGCUAUAAAAAACAAGAACAUAAAGACACAUAUGAGAGGAGUAAUAAAAAUAUAAAUAUUCAUAAUUUUAAUAAAAAUAAUAAGUACGGCACAGAUGAUAUAAAAGAAGAUACAAUUAAAAAUAAUAGAUAUGUCGACGAAGAUACAUCUGAUGCUAAUAGGUAUGUCGACGAAGAUACAUAUAAUUCCAAUAAGUAUGUUGACAGAUAUAUAAAUGAUACUAAUGGCUAUGUUAAUAAUGAUUAUGUUGAUAAUAACAAUGGAAAUAAUAAUGACUAUAGCAAUGGAAAUAACACUGACUAUGGUUAUAAUAUUCAGCAUGCUGACGAUUAUACGAAUGAUUAUAAUAAGAAGUACAAGAAUCAUACUAAAAAUAAAAAAAAUCGUUUUCACGGAUAUCAUAAUAAAGAAACAAUAGAAAAAGGAAAUGAUUUUAAAAAAGUGACAAAUAUGAUAGUUAAUAAUGAUAAAUAUAUAAAGAAUCAAAGUACAUCUAAAUCGCAUAUGAAUACAAUUUUAAAAAAAAAUAAUUAUGAUGCGCAUAACACAAAUGAGUUCGAUACUAAUGAGUUCGAUACAAAUGAGUUCGAUACAAACGGGGUCGGCAUAAACGGGUUCAACACAAAUGGGUUCAACACAAAUGAGUUCAACACAAAUGGGUUUAACACAAAUGGGUUUAACACAAAUGGGUUCAACACAAAUGGGUUCAACACAAAUGGAUUCAACACAAAUGGGUUCAAUACAAACGGGUUCAAUACAAACGGGUUCAACACAAAUGGGUUCAACACAAACGGGUUCAACACAAACGGGUUAAAUACCAACUGGUUACACACAAAUGGGUUGAACACAGACGGGUUCGAUACAAACGGGCUCGGCAUAAAUGGGUUCGACAUAAACGGGUUCAACACAAACGGAUUUAACAUAAACGGGAUCAACAAUAACAGAACCAACAAUAACAGAACCAACAAUAACAGAACCAACACAAACGAAACCAACAGCGAUCGGUACCAUUCAAAUGAUAACAACAAUCUCGAAUUAAACAACACUUGUACGAAAUUAAGUACCAAUAAAGUGACACAUACUAAUGAAAAGGAAAAAAAAAAAAAAAAGGAAAAAGAAGAAGAAAAUGAAAAUGAAAAUGAAACAGAAAUAAUCAUGACAAAAGAAAAAAUAGAACAAACAAAAAAUUUAAACAAUUCAUUUAUGAACAACACAUAUGAAUAUACAAGCAUAAAACAUAUUAAUAAUAAAAAUUUAAAUAAUAAACAAACAUACUAUAAUAAAAAUGUUAAUUACAAAAAAUAUGAUGACCCUAUUGGUAUAAGGAAUGAGCAGAUGUAUUUGCAUAAUGGUAUAAAUAAAAAAAAUGUUUUUUUAAACAGUCGAAAUAAAAAUUAUAAUAACGCCAGGGAGUAUGAUAUGGGAUAUGAAAAAGGACACGGUAAAGGGUAUAACGAAAAAGGAUAUAACAAAUACAUAAAUAAUAAUAACAAUGCUAUUCUUACUUCUGCUACUACUACUACUGCUACUACUGCUACUGCUGCUACUACUACUACUGCUGCUACUACUGCUACUGCUGCUACUGCUGCUACUACUGCUACUACUGCUACUACUGCUACUACUGCUGCUACUACUGCUACUGCUGCUACUACUGCUACUACUGCUACUACUGCUACUGCUGCUACUGCUGCUACUAAUGCCACUUCGACGGCUACUGAUGCUGCUACUACUACUACUGCUACUAAUAACAACUAUAAUACAUAUUGUUAUGAUACUAAUUAUAUUGAUACUACAAAUGGUACUAGUAAUACUACGACUACUAAUUACUAUUAUAAUGACACUUUAUAUCCAACAAAUGAUGCAAAUUAUAUAAACGAAAAUACACCAUACUAUAAUGAAAAUUGUUAUACCAUAAACCAUCAACUAAAAAAUUCAUAUAUGAAUAACAAUUAUUUAAAUAACAAUUAUAUAAACAAUUCUAAUUAUAUAAAUAAUAGAAAUUAUGUAAAUGACCCUAACUAUCACAACGACUGUAAUUAUAUGAACAGAAAUUAUAUAAAUAACAAUACAGCCUAUAUAAAUGAAAACGUAGGUUAUAUAAAUGGUACAUACCCACGUGAACCAUAUAUGAACAACAAUUAUCUUAAUGCUACGAAUAACUAUUACUAUAAUAUGUAUCAAACUUAUGUAAAUGAUAACGAAAAAUAUUAUUACAACGACAACACAUAUAUAAAACAGUAGACAUAGUUGGAUGGGUUGGGUGGCUGUAUAUUUAUGUGUAUACGGGCAUAGAUAGGUGUAUAAAGAAACACGCACAUAUAUAUAUAUAUAUAUAUAUAUUUGUUGUCACAUUUAAAAAAA
ensembl:lncRNA